rnacentral:rRNA from 1 species
AUUGAACGCUGGCGGCAGGCCUAACACAUGCAAGUCGAGCGGAGCGGCGGACGGGGGAGUAAUGCCUAGGAAUCUACCUGGUAGUAGGGGAUAACGUCCGGAAACGGGAGAUAAUACCGCAUACGUGCAGCGCGCCCUCGGUCGCAUUAGCUAGUUGGGGGGGUAAAGGCCUACCAAGGCGACGAGCCGUAACUGGUCUGAGAGGAUGAUGAGUCACACUGGAACGGAGACACGGUCCAGACUCCUACGGGAGGCAGCAGUGGGGAAUAUUGGACAAUGGGCGAAAGCCUGAGCCAGCCAUGCCGCGUGUGUGAAGAAGGUCUUCGGAUUGUAAAGCACUUUAAGUUGGGAGGCGUUACCAACAGAAUAAGCACCGGCUAACUUCGUGCCAGCAGCCGCGGUAAUAC